rnacentral:rRNA from 1 species
GUUAACUCCGUGCCAGCAGCCGCGGUAAUACGGAGGGGGCUAGCGUUGUUCGGAAUUACUGGGCGUAAAGCGCACGUAGGCGGACCAGCAAGUUAGGGGUGAAAUCCCGGGGCUCAACCCCGGAACUGCCCUUAAAACUGCGGGUCUGGAGUUCGAGAGAGGUGAGUGGAAUACCGAGUGUAGAGGUGAAAUUCGUAGAUAUUCGGUGGAACACCAGUGGCGAAGGCGGCUCACUGGCUCGAUACUGACGCUGAGGUGCGAAAGCGUGGGGAGCAAACAGGAUUAGAUACCCUAGUAGUC